rnacentral:rRNA from 1 species
GACGAACGCUGGCGGCGUGCUUAACACAUGCAAGUCGAGCGGUAAGGCCCUUUCGGGGGUACACGAGCGGCGAACGGGUGAGUAACACGUGGGUGACCUGCCCUCAGCUCUGGGAUAAGCCUGGGAAACCGGGUCUAAUACCGGAUAUGACUCCAUGACGCAUGUUGUGGGGUGGAAAGCCUUGUGCGGCUGAGGAUGGGCCCGCGGCCUAUCAGCUUGUUGGUGGGGUGAUGGCCUACCAAGGCGACGACGGGUAGCCGGCCUGAGAGGGCGACCGGCCACACUGGGACUGAGGACACGGCCCAGACUCCUACGGGAGGCAGCAGUGGGGAAUCUUGCGCAAUGGGCGAAAGCCUGACGCAGCGACGCCGCGUGAGGGAUGAC